rnacentral:rRNA from 1 species
CUCGGCCUACGGGACGCAGCAGUAGGGAAUCUUCCACAAUGGACGAAAGUCUGAUGGAGCAACGCCGCGUGAGUGAAGAAGGGUUUCGGCUCGUAAAGCUCUGUUGGUAGGGAAGAAAGAUAGAGGUAGUAACUGGCCUUUAUUUGACGGUAAUUACUUAGAAAGUCACGGCUAACUACGUGCCAGCAGCCGCGGUAAUACGUCGGUGGCAAGCGUUGUCCGGAUUUAUUGGGCGUAAA